rnacentral:rRNA from 1 species
AGAAGAUGGUAAGGGCAAACGGUGGAUGCCUUGGCACAAGAAGCCGAUGAAGGACGUGAUAAGCUGCGAUAAGCCACGGUAAGGAGCACAUAUCCUGUGACCCGUGGAUUUCCGAAUGGGUAAACCCACCAAGAGUCAUUUCUUGGUACUUCCUGUUGAAUAUAUAGGCAGGAUAGAGGUAACCGGGGGAACUGAAACAUCUAAGUACCCCGAGGAAGAGAAAUCAAACGAGAUUCCCCUAGUAGUGGCGAGCGAACGGGGAUAUAGGACAAACCGUCAGUUGCGCAAGCGCUGACGGGGUUGUAGGACCAUUCAUUGUGGAGUUACAAAACUUCGUGGAAGCAGAAUAGUUUGGAAAAAUUAGCGAGACAGGGUAAAAGCCCCGUACGCGAAUCUGCGGAGACUCCCGAGUGGCACCUGAGUACUGCCGGACACGUGAAACCC